rnacentral:rRNA from 1 species
UACGUAGGGGGCUAGCGUUGUCCGGAUUUAUUGGGCGUAAAGAGCGUGUAGGCGGCCAGGUAGGUCUGGUGUGAAAACUCGAGGCUUAACCUCGAGAUGUCAUCGGAAACCAUCUGGCUAGAGUCCGGAAGAGGAGAGUGGAAUUCCUGGUGUAGCGGUGAAAUGCGCAGAUAUCAGGAGGAACACCGGUGGCGAAGGCGGGUCUCUGGGCCGACAUUGACGCUGAGGAGCGAAAGCGUGGGGAGCGAACAGG